AGAUAUGAUUGUGCAGCCCUUAUAUGAAGACCUAGACCGAAAGAAAUCAGAAUGUGAGGCCUGAGAAGACUUUCCCAAGGUUGGCUAUAUGAGGGGUGGGCGCUGCCUGUCUCAGGAGACGUCCUUGGUACCAGCAUCUUUUUCUUCAGACCUGCCAUCUGUUCCAGUGAAUAAUUCUACCAACCACGUUUUCCAUGAUUUGCCUCAUUAUGUCUCCACGUCCUUUACACACAUAGAACAUGAUGUCUGGCACACUGAAUAAGCUGUCUACUAGACAUUAUGGCAACAUGUAAUCAACAAGGUCAACCUGAGAAACAGUAGUGGAAUGGAGGGUCAGAAAGAUGGCUUUGCUCCUAAGAUGCAGAUCCUUGAUCCUUCGACCAUCUCUAGCCCUUGCUGAGCACAGCUGUAUAAAGAUUUGAGGGGGAUCAAACUCAGAACCUUGCACUCGUGAGGCAGGCGACAGCACCACUGAGGUA